AUUGAACGCUGGCGGCAGGCCUAACACAUGCAAGUCGAGCGGAUGACGGGAGCUUGCUCCUUGAUUCAGCGGCGGACGGGUGAGUAAUGCCUAGGAAUCUGCCUGGUAGUGGGGGACAACGUUUCGAAAGGAACGCUAAUACCGCAUACGUCCUACGGGAGAAAGCAGGGGACCUUCGGGCCUUGCGCUAUCAGAUGAGCCUAGGUCGGAUUAGCUAGUUGGUGGGGUAAUGGCUCACCAAGGCGACGAUCCGUAACUGGUCUGAGAGGAUGAUCAGUCACACUGGAACUGAGACACGGUCCAGGCUCCUACGGGAGGCAGCAGUGGGGAAUAUUGGACAAUGGGCGAAAGCCUGAUCCAGCCAUGCCGCGUGUGUGAAGAAGGUCUUCGGAUUGUAAAGCACUUUAAGUUGGGAGGAAGGGCAGUAAGCUAAUACCUUGCUGUUUUGACGUUACCGACAGAAUAAGCACCGGCUAACUCUGUGCCAGCAGCCGCGGUAAAAC
rnacentral:rRNA from 1 species